UACGUAGGGGGCUAGCGUUAUCCGGAAUUACUGGGCGUAAAGCGUGCGCAGGCGGUUUUGUAAGACCGAUGUGAAAUCCCCGGGCUUAACCUGGGAACUGCAUUGGUGACUGCAAGGCUCGAGUGUGUCAGAGGGAGGUGGAAUUCCGCGUGUAGCAGUGAAAUGCGUAGAUAUGCGGAGGAACACCGAUGGCGAAGGCAGCCUCCUGGGAUAACACUGACGCUCAUGCACGAAAGCGUGGGGAGCAAACAGGAUUAGA
rnacentral:rRNA from 1 species